AGUGAACGCUGGCGGUAGGCCUAACACAUGCAAGUCGAACGGCAGCACAGUAAGAGCUUGCUCUUACGGGUGGCGAGUGGCGGACGGGUGAGGAAUACAUCGGAAUCUACUUUUUCGUGGGGGAUAACGUAGGGAAACUUACGCUAAUACCGCAUACGACCUACGGGUGAAAGCAGGGGAUCUUCGGACCUUGCGCGAUUGAAUGAGCCGAUGUCGGAUUAGCUAGUUGGCGGGGUAAAGGCCCACCAAGGCGACGAUCCGUAGCUGGUCUGAGAGGAUGACCCCCCAACUGGAAACUGGACCCCGGCCCGGACUCCUACGGGGGGAGCAGGUGGGAAUUUUUGGCAAGUGGGCGAAACCCUGACCCCGCCGUCCCGGGUGGGUGAAAAAGCCCUUCGGUUUUAAACGCCCUUUUGUUGGGAAAAAAAACCGGCAGGUUAAUCCCCCGUUUUUUUGGCGGUACCCAAAAAAAAGGCCCCGGCAACCUUCGG
rnacentral:rRNA from 1 species